UACGAAGGGUGCAAGCGUUACUCGGAAUUACUGGGCGUAAAGCGUGAGUAGGUGGUUUCUUAAGUCUGCUGUGAAAGCCCCGGGCUCAACCUGGGAAUUGCAGUGGAUACUGGGGAGCUUGAGUGCGUGAGGGGUUACCGGAACGAGUGGUGUAGCGGUGAAAUGCGUAGAUAUCACUCGGAAGGCCAACGGCGAAGGCAGGUAACUGGUGCGCAACUGACGCUGAGGCACGAAAGCGUGGGGAGCAAACAGG
rnacentral:rRNA from 1 species